rnacentral:rRNA from 1 species
UACAGAGGGUGCGAGCGUUAAUCGGAAUUACUGGGCGUAAAGCGUGCGUAGACGGUUAUUUAAGUCGGGUGUGAAAUCCCCGGGCUCAACCUGGGAACUGCAUCCGAAACUGCCUUGCUAGAGUAUGGGAGAGGGAAGUGGAAUUUCCGGUGUAGCGGUGAAAUGCGUAGAUAUCGGAAGGAACAUCAGUGGCGAAGGCGACUUCCUGGACCAAUACUGACGCUCAGGUGCGAAAGCGUGGGGAGCAAACAGG